rnacentral:rRNA from 1 species
CUGGUUGGUGGGGUAACGGCCUACCAAGGCGACGAUCGGUAGCUGGUCUUAGAGGAUGAUCAGCCAGACUGGGACUGAGACACGGCCCAGACUCCUACGGGAGGCAGCAGUUAGGAAUUUUGGGCAAUGGGCGCAAGCCUGACCCAGCAACGCCGCGUGGGUGACGAAGGCCUUCGGGUUGUAAAGCCCUUUUCUGAGGGAAGAUGAUGACGGUACCUCAGGAAGAAGCACCGGCUAACUACGUGCCAGCAGCCGCGGUAAUACGUAGGGUGCGAGCGUUGCCCGGAUUUAUUGGGCGUAAAGGGCGCGUAGGCGGCCACGCACGUCCGUUGUGAAAUCGCUCGGCUCAACUGGGCGGGGUCAGCGGAUACGGUGUGGCUGGAGCAAGCUAGGGGGCAAUGGAAUUCCCGGUGUAGUGGUGGAAUGCGUAGAUAUCGGGAGGAACACCAGUGGCGAAGGCGGUUGCCUGGAGCUUUGCUGACGCUGAUGCGCGAAAGCGUGGGGAGCGAUCCGGAUUAGAUACCCGGGUAGUCCACGCCGUAAACGAUGUCGACUAGGUGUCGGGGGUAUCGACCCCCUCGGCGCCGCAGCUAACGCAUUAAGUCGACCGCCUGGGGACUACGGCCGCAAGGCUAAAACUCAAAGGAAUUGACG